rnacentral:rRNA from 1 species
AGCAGCCGCGGUAAUUCCAGCUCCAAUAGCGUAUAUUAAAGUUGUUGCAGUUAAAAAGCUCGUAGUUGAAUUUCGGGAUUAGCAGGUCGGUCGUGCCACUGGUACGUACUGGUCUUGCUGAUUCCUCCCUCUUGACGAGCCGUAAUGCCAUUAAUUUGGUGUUGCGGGGAAUCAGGACUGUUACUUUGAAAAAAUUAGAGUGUUUAAAGCAGGCAUGCGCUUGAAUACAUUAGCAUGGAAUAAUGAAAUAGGACGUUUGAUUCUAUUUUGUUGGUUUCUAGGAUCGACGUAAUGAUUAAUAGGGAUAGUUGGGGGCAUUAGUAUUCAAUUGUCAGAGGUGAAAUUCUUGGAUUUAUUGAAGACUAACUACUGCGAAAGCAUUUGCCAAGGAUGUUUUCAUUAAUCAAGAACGAAAGUUAGGGGAUCGAAGACGAUCAGAUACCGUCGUAGUCUUAACCAUAAACCUAUUGCCGACUAGGAAUCAGACGAUGUUAAUUUUUUAAUGUACUCGUUUGGCUAA